GUGAACGUAGCCAAGUGGAUUAAGGCCCCGGUCUGCAAAACCGUGUGACCCAAAAGGGCGUGGGUUCGAAUCCCACCGUUCACUCCA
rnacentral:tRNA from 1 species